rnacentral:lncRNA from 1 species
AUGGUCUUGUACUUUCUUGGUUGCUGCCUAGAAAAUGGGAUUCUAAGUCUCCUAGCCUCAACCAAUGGUCUUGUCUGCAUCCUCUAUACUCCAAUUUAUUUUAUGUUCCACUCACGAGCGCCCAUCUUGUUCAUAGCUAACCCAACAACGCAAAAAGCCCAACUGAUCCUUGGUACAACUAAACACAUCGCAAGGUUUAAUAAAGGCAUCGGCCUCGCGUUCGACCUAGAGAAUACAGUUAGCAAGUUCAAGAUAGUCAAUGCAGUUGGUGCUAGGACCAUUGAGGAUAAUAGGACUAAGUUAUGCUUUGCUACCUUCUCCUCAAAUACAAGUUGCUGGGCCAUGUCCAGUACGACGGUUUAUGUGCACACCAAAAUUAACUGCAACAACAAGAAGAUGGCCUAUGGAAGUGGAAUCAUGUACUGGGAUUACUAGGAGAUUGUGC